rnacentral:rRNA from 1 species
AACGAACGCUGGCGGCGUGCCUAACACAUGCAAGUCGAACGAGAAAGGGGCUUCGGCUCCGAGUAAAGUGGCGCACGGGUGAGUAACACGUAGGUAACCUGCCUCUAAGAUUGGGAUAACCUGUCGAAAGAUGAGCUAAUACCAAAUAAGACCACGGCUUCCUCGGAAGCAGAGGUCAAAGGUAGCCUCUACUUGUAAGCUAUCACUUAGAGAUGGGCCUGCGUACCAUUAGCUAGUUGGUGGGGUAACGGCCUACCAAGGCAAAGAUGGUUAGCUGGUCAGAGAGGAAGAUCAGCCACACUGGAACUGAGACACGGUCCAGACUCCUACGGGAGGCAGCAGUGGGGAAUUUUGCGCAAUGGGCGAAAGCCUGACGCAGCAACGCCGCGUGAGUGAUGAAGGCUCUUGGGUCGUAAAGCUCUGACAGAGGGAAAGAAAUGCAGGGGUGCUAAUAUCACCUUUGCUUGACGGUACCCUCAAAGGAAGCACCGGCUAACUCCGUGCCAGCCGCCGCAGUAAGAC